rnacentral:rRNA from 2 species
GAGCUUGCUCCCUGAGAUUAGCGGCGGACGGGUGAGUAACACGUGGGCAACCUGCCUAUAAGACUGGGAUAACUUCGGGAAACCGGAGCUAAUACCGGAUACGUUCUUUUCUCGCAUGAGAGAAGAUGGAAAGACGGUUUACGCUGUCACUUAUAGAUGGGCCCGCGGCGCAUUAGCUAGUUGGUGAGGUAAUGGCUCACCAAGGCGACGAUGCGUAGCCGACCUGAGAGGGUGAUCGGCCACACUGGGACUGAGACACGGCCCAGACUCCUACGGGAGGCAGCAGUAGGGAAUCUUCCGCAAUGGACGAAAGUCUGACGGAGCAACGCCGCGUGAACGAAGAAGGCCUUCGGGUCGUAAAGUUCUGUUGUUAGGGAAGAACAAGUACCAGAGUAACUGCUGGUACCUUGACGGUACCUAACCAGAAAGCCACGGCUAACUACGUGCCAGCAGCCGCGGUAAUACGUAGGUGGCAAGCGUUGUCCGGAAUUAUUGGGCGUAAAGCGCGCGCAGGUGGUUCCUUAAGUCUGAUGUGAAAGCCCACGGCUCAACCGUGGAGG